CCUACGGGUUGCAGCAGUGGGGAAUAUUGCACAAUGGGCGCAAGCCUGAUGCAGCCCUGCCGCGUGUAUGAAGAAGGCCUUCGGGUUGUAAAGUACUUUCAGCGGGGAGGAAGGUGUUGUGGUUAAUAACCGCAGCAAUCGACGUUACCCGCAGAAGAAGCACCGGCUAACUCCGUGCCAGCAGCCGCGGUAAUACGGAGGGUGCAAGCGUUAAUCGGAAUUACUGGGCGUAAAGCGCACGCAGGCGGUCUGUCAAGUCGGAUGUGAAAUCCCCGGGCUCAACCUGGGAACUGCAUUCGAAACUGGCAGGCUAGAGUCUUGUAGAGGGGGUAGAAUUCCAGGUGUAGCGGUGAAAUGCGUAGAGAUCUGGAGGAAUACCGGUGGCGAAGGCGGCCCCCUGGACAAAGACCGACGCUCAGGUGCGAAAGCGUGGGGAGCAAACAGGAUUAGAUACCCCAGU
rnacentral:rRNA from 1 species